GGGUUCCGCCAGAAGUAGGUAGCCUAACCGCAAGGRGGGCGCUUACCACGGCGGGGUUCGUGACUGGGGUGAAGUCGUAACAAGGUAGCCGUAGGUGAACCUGCAGAAGGAUCA
rnacentral:rRNA from 1 species